rnacentral:lncRNA from 1 species
UAACCGAACUGAAUAUUGGUAAGAAAAAAAAGAAACUGAAAUCUUUUGUUCUGUUCCAUUUUUCUUAUGGAUUGAUUGUUCAAAAGCCAGCUCACAUCUUAGUUUGGUACUUUAUGUGUUGUUAGUUUUGUUUUUAGAUUUUUGGCUCACUGCAAUCAAACAAUUCUAUGAGGAAUUUUUUUUUUUUUGGUAAAAUUCUGUGAGGAAUUUUUUAAACCAAAGUUUUUGAUUUGUCACUUACAUUGCAUUUGUAUUUAUUAGUAUAAUCUUACAUUUAUAAGUAGACGUAAAUUAUUAUUUUUUUCAAAAACAAGGGUCACCUUUUAACUUUUAA